AUGGCUGAAGAAAUAGUUGAAUUAAUGGCCGAGAGAAUGUCUCAGGGAUUGGCUGAAUUAAUGGGUGAGAGAAUGGGUGCAUUAUUCGCCUGAAUAAUGGGUGUAUUACUGUUUGAGGGAAUGGAUGAACUAAUUUCUUAAGAAAUGGGCGAAUGUAGCUUAUGGAAUGGGUGAACUAAUGGCUGAUGUAAUAGGUGAAUUAAUGCUUGGAGGAACUAGGUUCAUUAGUGGCUUAGAGAAUGACUGAACUUGUGGCAGAAAAAAAUGGGUGAAUUAAUGACUUACGGAAAUGGUGGGUUAGUGGCUGAGCGGUUGGAUGAAUUAAUAGCUGAAGGAAAGUUUGUGUUAGGCCUGAGGGUAUGCAUUAAUUAAUGCCAAGAGGAAGUGAGUGUAUUAAUGGCUGAGGGAAUAGAUGAAUUAAUGGCUGAAGGAAUGGGUGUAUUAAUGGCAUGAAGGAAUGGGUAUAUUAUAGAUAAGGGGAUAGGUGUAUUAAUGCCUCAGGGAAUGGGUGUAUUAAAGGCUCAGGGAAUAGGUGAAUUAAUGGUUGAGGGGAUGGGUAAACUAAUGGCUGAGAGAAUGGAUAAACUAAUGGCUGAGGUAGUAAGUGAACUAAUUCCUAAGUAAACUAGUGAAUUAAUGGCUGAGGGAAUGAAGGAAUGAAUGGCUGCAGGAGGUGUAUUAGUGGCUGCAAGAAUGGGUGAAACUGGAUGAGAAUAUGGCCGGCUUAAUGUUGGAGAGAAUGGGUGAAUUAAUGGUGAGGAAUGGGUGAUUUAGUGGGUGAAGGAUUGGCUGACUUAAUGGCUGAGGGAAGACUGAAUAAAUGGCUGAGGGAAUGGGUGAAUUAAUGGAGGUGUGAAUGAGUGAAUUAGUGGAUGGGGGAAUGUGUGUAUUAAUGGUUGAGGGAAUUGGUGUAUCAAAGGCUUUGAGAAUGGAUGAAAUAAUGGCUGAGGGACUGGCUGAAUUAAUGGCGGGGAUAUGGGUGAACUAACUGCUGAGUGAAUGGGUGUAUAGGAAUAAAACAAUUGGUGUAUUAAUGGCUGAUGGAAUGGGUGAAUUAAUGGUUGAAAGAAUGGGUGCAUUAGUGGCCUAGAAAAUGGGUGUAUUAGUGGUUGAGGGAAUGGUUGUAUUAAUGGCAUGAGACAAUGGGUAUAUUAUAGAUGAAGGAAUAGGUGUAUCAAUGGCUCAGGGAAUGGGUGUAUUAAGGGCUGAGGGAAAAGGUGAAUUAAUAGUUGAGUUAAUGGGUGAAUUAUUGCCUGAGGGAAUGGGUGAACUAAUUCCUACGGUAAUCAGUAAACUAAUGGAUGAGGGGAUGGAUGAAUGAAUAGCUGCCGGAAGAGAUGUAUUAGUGGCUGAAAGAAUGGGUGAAAUAAUGGGUGAUAAAAUGGCUGACUUAAUGGUGGACAGAAUGGAUGAAUUAGUGGCUGACGGAAUGAGUCAUAACAGCUGAGGGAAUGGGUGAAUUAAUGUGGAGGGAAUGGCUGUAUUAGUGGAUGAGGGAAUGGGUGAACUAGUGGCAUGAGGGAAUGGGUACAUUAGUGGAUUGAAGAAUAGGUGUAUUAAUGGAUGAGGGAAUAGCGGAGGGAAAGGGUGAGUUAAUAGCUGAGUGAAUGGAUGUAUUUGAGUCUAAUGGAAUGGGUGAACCAAUGUCUUAGGAAAUGGGUGAAUGUGGCUGAUGAAAUGGCUGAACUAAUAGCUGAGGGAAUAGGUGAAUUAAUGCCUGAGGGAAUGGUUGAAUUAACACCUGAGGGUAUAGGUUAAUUAAAGGCUGAGGGAGUACUGAAUUAACGACUGAGAGAAUGGAUGUAUUAGUGGGCUAGGAAAUGGGUAUAUUAGUGGCUGAGGGAAUGGGUGAAUUAAUGUCUUAGGAAAUGGGUGAAUGUAGCUGAUGGAAUGGGUGAACUAACGGCUGGGGAAUAGGUGAAUUAAUGCCUGAGGGACUGGGUGCAUUAGUGCCUUAGAGAAUGAGUGGAAAGACAAACGGUGGAUAGAAUGAGUGAAAUAUGGCAGAGGGAAUAGGUGAAUUAAUGAUUUACGGAAAUCGUGUAUUUGUGGCUGAGAGCAUGAGUGAAGUAACGGCUGAGAGAACAGAUGAAUUAAUAGGUAGCAGAAAGCUUGCUUGAGGGCCGAGGGAAUGGGUGAGUUAAUGGCAUGAGGAAAUGGGUGAAUUAAUGGCUGAGAGAAUGGAUAUAUUAAUGGCUGAGGGAGUGGAUAUAUUAAUGGCUGAGGAAAUGGCUGAAUAGCUGAGGGAGUCAAUAUUAGGGCUGAGGGAAUGGGUGAAUUACUGGCUGAGGGAAUCAUUAUUAGGGACAAGGGAAUGGUGAAUAAUGGCAUGAAGGAAUAGGUAUGUCAGUGGCUGAGGUUUAUCAACAGCAGAGGGAAUGGGUGAAUUAAUAGCUGAAGGAAUGGGUGAAUUAUUGCUGAGGGAAUGUGUGAAGUAAUGGCUGAGGGAUUGGCUGAAUUAAUAGCUGAGAGAAUGGGUGAAUUAAUGGGUGUGGGGAUGUGUGUAUUAAAGGCUGAUGGAACUGGUGUAUCAAAGGCUGAGAGGAUGGCUGAAUAAAUGGCUGAGGGAAUAGUUCAAGUAAUGGCUUGAAGGAAUAAGUGAAUUAAGGGCUGAGGUGGUGGGUGAAUUAAAGGCUGAGGAAAUGCAUGUAUUAGUUUUUGAGGGAAUAAAUGAACAAUGGCUGAGCGAUGGGUGUAUCAAUGUCAUGAGGGAAUGGAUGUAUCAGUGGCAUGAGGAAAUGGGUGAAUUAAUGGCCAAGGGAAUGAGUGAAUUAGUGGCUAUGGAAUGGGUGUAUUAGUGGCUAAGGGAAUGAGUAAUAACGACUGAAGGAAAGGGUGUAUUAAUGGUUGAGGGAACGGGUAAAUUAAUGGCAGGAAACAAUGGUUGUAUUAAUGCUGAGGAAAUAGAUGAAUUAAUGGCUGGGAGAAUGAGUGUAUUAAUGGCAUGAAGCACGGGUAUAUUAAUGGGUGAUGGAAUGGAUGAAUUAAUGGCUGAGAGGAGUGGUGAAUUAAUGGAGAGGCAAUGGAUGAAUUAAGGGCUGAGGGAAUGUGUGUAUAAGAGCUGAAGGAAGGGGUAAAUGUCAUGAGGGAAUGAGUGACCUAAUGACUAAGGGAAUGGGUGUAUUAGACUGAGGGAAUCGGUGUAUUAAUGGUGGAAGGAAUAGGUGAAUUAAUGGCUUAGGGAUUGGGUGAACUUUGGCUGAGGGUAUAGGUAAAUUAAUGGCUGAAGUAAUCGGUGAGUUAAUGGCAAGGGAAUGGGUGGAUGAUGGCAUAAGGAAAUGGCUAUAUUAAUGCCUGUGGGAAUAGAUAAAUUAAUAGCUGAGGCAAUGGUUGAAUUUAUGGCUACGUGAAUGCAUGUAUUCGUUUUUGAGGAAAUAAAUGAACAAUGGCCGAGGGAUGGGUGUAUCAGUAUCAUGAGGGAAAGGUGUAUUAAUGGCUGAGGGAAUGGAUGAAAUAAUGGCUGAGAAGAGUGGUGAAUUAAUGGAGAGGGAAUGGGUGAAUUAAUGGCUUAGGGAAUGGGUGUAUUAAUGGCAUGAAGGAAUGGGUGAAUUAAUGGCAUGAAGGCAUGGGUGAGUUAAUGGCUUAGGGAAAGGCUGAAUUAAUGGCUGAGGGAAUCUAUAUUAGGGCUGAGGGAAUGGGUGAAUUGAAGGCUGAGGGAAGGGGUGAACUAAAGGUGGAGAGAAUAGGUGUUUAAAUGGCAGGAUGGAAUGGGUGUAUUAAUGGCUGAGGGAAUGGGUGAAUUAAUGGCUGAGGGAAUCUUUGGAUUAGAGCUGAGGGAAAGGGUGAAUUAAUGGCAUGAGGGAAUGGUUGAUUACCGGGCUAAGGGAAUGAGUAAACUACAGGCUGAGGGAAUAGGUGUUUUAAUGGCAUGAUGGAAUGGGUAUAUAUAUAUAUAUAUUUUAAUUUAUUUAAUUUAUUUAUUUUUGGCUGCGUUGGGUCUUCGUUGCUGCACGCAGGCUUUCUCUAGCUGAGGUGAGCGGGAGAUACUCUUUGUUGCGGUGCGCGGGCUUCUCAUUGCGGUGGCUUCUCUUGUUGUGGAGCAUGGGCUCUAGGCACAUGGGCUUCAGUAGUUGUGGCAUACAGGCUCUAGAGCACAGGCUCAGUAGUUGUGGCGCACGGGCUAAGUUGCUCCGCGGCAUGUGGGAUCUUCCCGGACCAGGGCUCGAACCUGUGUCCCCUGCAUUGGCAGGUGGAUUCUUAACCACUGCGCCACCAGGGAAGCCCGGAAUGGGUAUAUUAUUGGUUGAGGCAUUGGGUAUAUUAAUGAGUUCAGGAAUGGAUGAGCUAAUGGCUGAGGGGAGUGGUGAAUUAAUGGAGACGGAAUGGGUGAAUUAAAGGCUGCAGGAAUCUGUGUAUUAUGGCUCAGGGAAUGGGUAAAUGAAUGGCAUGAGGAAAUAGAUGAAUUAAUGGCUUAGGGAAUGGGUUACAUAAUGGUCAAGGCAAUGGCUCCAUAAUGGCAUGAGGGAAUGGAUGAACUAAUGGCUAAGAGAAUGGGUUUUUUAGGCAUGAGGGAAUUGGUGUAUUAAUGGCAGAGGGAAGAGGUGAAUUAAUGGCUGAGUGAAUGUGUAAAGUAAUGACUGAGGGAAUGAGUGUAUUCAUGGCUGAAGGAAUAAGUGAGUUAAUGACUCAGGGUAUGGGUGAAUUAAUGGCUGAGGGAUUGGCUGAAUUAAUGGUGGAGAGAAUGCCUGAAUUAAUGUCUCAGGGAUUGUCUCAAUUAAUGGCUGAGGAAAUGGGUGAAUUAAUGGAUGUGGGAAUGUAUGUAUUAGUGCCUGAGGGAACUGGUGUAUCAAAGGCUGAGGGAAUGGCUUAAAUAAUGGCUGAGGAUUAGUGGCUAAAGGAAAGUGUGAUUGAGUGCCUGAAGGAAUGGGUAUAUUAAGGGAUGAGGCAAUGGAUAAACUAAUGGCUCAGGGACCUGUGAACUAAUGAUUGAGGUAACAGUGAACUAAUGGUUGAGCAAAUGGGUUUAUAAAUGAGACAGGGAACGGGUGUAUUAAUGGCAUGAGGGCAUGGGUGGACUAAUUGCCAAAAGAAUGGGUGUAUUAGGCAUUAGGGAAUCGGUGUAUUAAUGGUUGCCGGAAUAGGUGAAUUAUGGCUGAGGGAAUGUGUGAAGUAAUGACUAAAGGAAUGAGUAUAUUAGUGGCUGAGGGAAUAGGUGAGUUAAUGACUUAGAGAUGGGUGAAUUAAUGGCUGAGAGAAUGCCUGAAUUAAUGGCUGAGAGAAAAGGUGAAUUAAUGGAUACGGGAAUGGGUGAAUUAAUGGACGUGGGAAUGUGUGUACAGUAUUAAUAGCUGAGGGAAUUGGUGUAUCAAAGGCUGAGAGAAUGGCUGUAUUAAUGGCUGAGGGACUAGCUGAAGUAAUGGCUGGAGGAAUGGGUGCAUUAGUGACCUAGGUUAUGGGUGUAUGAGUGGCUGAGGGAAUGGGUGCCGGAGUGUAUGAUUUAAGUGAAAUGGAGAGGGACUUGCCUGACAGUCCAGUGUUUAAGACUUCGCCUUCCAAUGCAGGGGGUGCGGGUUUGAAACCUGGUCGGGGAGCUAAGAUCCCACAUGCCUCGUGGCCAAAAACCAAAACAUAAAACAGAAGCAAUAUUGGAGCAGUUUAAAAAGACCUUAAAAAUGGUCAUCAUCAAAAAAAAAUUUUUAAACAAUAAAAUAAAAAAAUGAAAUGGAGAAAUGUGUGUAUUAAUGGC